rnacentral:lncRNA from 1 species
CACUUGGAAGAAUCAAAGAAAAAUGGAAACCUUAACUUGCAUGAGCAAAUGUUCGUGCGUAGCCGCAUAGGCCAACGCCAGUACUCUACAGAUUAACCAUUGAAAUUGAAACAAACAGAGAAAAAACGUGGAAGUAAAUUGCAUGUCCGAGGAGUGACGAUUAACAUAGCAUCGGUAUAGCAUCUUACAACAGUUGCCUACAGUAAGAACUAUCGGUCGCACCGUAGCUGGCGCUGCGAACCUGCGACGGCACGGGAGGCGGGAGCUGGUGCACGAAGGCGCCGCUGGCCAUGACUAGGUGGGGCACGCCGCCAGGUAGUCCCGUCCAAAUAAACUACCCUCCGAAACGACCGGACCUCACGAACUGCUCCCGGUUUCCAAGCACUUGGAAGAAUCAAAGUCAAAGAAAAAUGGAAACCUAACUUGCAUGAGCAAAUACUUGUGCACAGGGCAACGCCAGUACUCUACAGAUUAACCAUUGAAAUUGAAACAAACAGAGAAAAAAAAAGUGGAAUUAAAUUGCAUGUCCGAGAAGGAUUGGCGUUGGCGAUUAACAUAGCAUCGGUAUAGCAUCUUACAGCAGUUGCCUACAGUAAGAACUAUUAACAAAGUCUCCAUAUUCUGU